CCUUCCCUGCUGCUGGAGUCCCCCACACUGCUGCCUGCUUUGCAGAUGCCUGCUGAGGUCUGGGCCACUGGAUUCAUAGCACUAAAGGGGUUUGUCAUUGAUGAUCAAAGAAACAAAACACUUGUUCUGAUGAGCAUCAAUCUGUAUCCAUGUUUUGUGCUUUUGAACCUCCUCCAACAUCAAUCAUGAAUAUCCUGAUUUUAGGAGUCAAGAUAAACAUUCUGCUGCUAAAGCAAAACUUGUAAGGUCCAUCCACGUGAGCAGCCAGGGUGUAGAACGGGGUAAAGGAGUUGGCCCCCAAAAAAGGCAAUCACAGAAUAAAACAGUGAACGUCAGAGCAAACGGACUUCUUAUUUUAUUGUAAAUAGUGGCUUUCCAAAUAAAGCAUGAUAAUACACAGAAUCAUU